GGGUAGAAUUCCAGGUGUAGCGGUGAAAUGCGUAGAGAUCUGGAGGAAUACCGGUGGCGAAGGCGGCCCCCUGGACAAAGACUGACGCUCAGGUGCGAAAGCGUGGGGAGCAAACAGGAUUAGAUACCCUGGUAGUCCACGCCGUAAACGAUGUCUACUUGGAGGUUGUGCCCUUGAGGCGUGGCUUCCGGAGCUAACGCGUUAAGUAGACCGCCUGGGGAGUACGGCCGCAAGGUUAAAACUCAAAUGAAUUGACGGGGGCCCGCACAAGCGGUGGAGCAUGUGGUUUAAUUCGAUGCAACGCGAAGAACC
rnacentral:rRNA from 4 species